rnacentral:rRNA from 1 species
AUUGAACGCUGGCGGCAGGCCUAACACAUGCAAGUCGAGCGGAUGAAGGGAGCUUGCUCCUGGAUUCAGCGGCGGACGGGUGAGUAAUGCCUAGGAAUCUGCCUGGUAGUGGGGGAUAACGUCCGGAAACGGGCGCUAAUACCGCAUACGUCCUGAGGGAGAAAGUGGGGGAUCUUCGGACCUCGCGCUAUCAGAUGAGCCUAGGUCGGAUUAGCUAGUUGGUGGGGUAAAGGCCUACCAAGGCGACGAUCCGUAACUGGUCUGAGAGGAUGAUCAGUCACACUGGAACUGAGACACGGUCCAGACUCCUACGGGAGGCAGCAGUGGGGAAUAUUGGACAAUGGGCGAAAGCCUGAUCCAGCCAUGCCGCGUGUGUGAAGAAGGUCUUCGGAUUGUAAAGCACUUUAAGUUGGGAGGAAGGGCAGUAAGUGAAUACCUUGCUGUUUUGACGGUACCAACAGAAUAAGCACCGGCUAACUUCGUG